ensembl:rRNA 5S_rRNA 5S ribosomal RNA
UUAUAUCACCAUAUCACCCUACAGCACAAGACUGGUUGCCCAAUUAAGCUAAGCAGGGUUGAGCCUGGUCAGUACCUGGAUGGGAGACCUCUUGGGGAAACUAGGUUGCUGUUGGAA